GUGACUAUAAAACGGAAGGCUAAGAUCAAGCAUAUUAUUUGUUCUUAUUAGUUUAAUAUUAAACUUGAUACGUGGACUAAUGGCUCACAUGAUAUUAAAUUAAUUUUUUAAGGGGCAGGGCUCAGUACAGUAGCUUGCUGCUGGGGCUCUCGCGUGUCGCCUAGGUUCUGCACUACUGCCUUGGCCUGGCGCACCCCUC